rnacentral:rRNA from 1 species
AUGGCCGCGGCGACACGUGCGGCAGCACACUGUCUGCUUGGCCUCCGUCGCCGCUCGCCGCCGCUGCCUCUCCUCCCCUUCCCCGGCCGGAGCAGCAAGACGGCCGUGCGCAUGGCCUCGUCAGACGCGCCGCAGCUCGGCGCCGCCACCGUGGAGGUGCCCGGCGCGGCGGGGCCCGUGCGGGUCGUGGCGGCGGCGGGCCUCCCCGAGGCGGACUUCAGGAAGGCGCUGGACUCGGCGCUGUUCCGGCGCUGGUUGGAGAGCCUGCAGGGGGAGAGGGGCCUGCUCGCCCACGGGAAGCUCAGCCUCCGGCAGAUCCUCAUCCAGGGGGUGGACAUGUUCGGGGAGCGCGUGGGGUUCCUCAAGUUCAAAGCCGACAUCGUCGACGAGGCGACCAAGGCCAAGAUUCCAGGGAUUGUCUUCGCAAGAGGGCCUGCUGUUGCUGUGUUGAUUCUCUUGGAGUCCAAAGGGCAAACUUAUGCCGUUCUUACUGAACAGGCUAGAGUUCCUAUUGGAAAGUUUAUAUUGGAGCUACCAGCUGGAAUGCUAGAUGAUGAAAACGGCGACUUUGUUGGCACCGCAGUCCGAGAGGUCGAAGAAGAAACUGGUAUAAAGUUAAAUCUAGGGGACAUGGUUGAUCUUACUGCUUUGCUGGACCCUGCUACUGGGUGCAGAAUGCUACCAUCACCGGGUGGCUGUGACGAAGAGAUUGGCCUGUUCCUUUACCGGGGGCACGUGGACGAGGAGACUAUCAGGGCUCUCCAAGGAAAGGAAACGGGCCUGCGGGAUCAUGGCGAGCUGAUCAACCUGCGUGUGGUCCCCUACGACCAGCUUUGGCGCUUGACGUCAGACGCAAAGGCACUCUCGGCCAUAGCUCUGUACGAGAUGGCCAAGAAGGAAGGCGUCCUGCCGCCGUCUAGUGGCUCGUCGUCGAACCUAUAA